rnacentral:tRNA from 1 species
UAGCUCAGUGGUACAGCAUUUGCCUAACAUGCACAAAGCCCUGGGUUCAAUCCCCAG